AGAGUUUGAUCAUAGCUCAGGAUGAACGCUAGCUACAGGCUUAACACAUGCAAGUCGAGGGGAAACGACAUCGAAAGCUUGCUUUUGAUGGGCGUCGACCGGCGCACGGGUGAGUAACGCGUAUCCAACCUGCCCACCACUUGGGGAUAACCUUGCGAAAGUAAGACUAAUACCCAAUGACGUCUCUAGAAGACAUCUGAAGGAGAUUAAAGAUUUAUCGGUGAUGGAUGGGGAUGCGUCUGAUUAGCUUGUUGGCGGGGUAACGGCCACCAAGGCACGAUCAGUAGGGGUUCUGAGAGGAAGGUCCCCCANACUUGGAACUGAGACACGGUCCAAACUCCUACGGGAGGCA
rnacentral:rRNA from 1 species